UUAAAUUGAAGAGUUUGAUCAUGGCUCAGAUUGAACGCUGGCGGCAGGCCUAACACAUGCAAGUCGAACGGUAGCACAGAGAGCUUGCUCUCGGGUGACGAGUGG
rnacentral:rRNA from 2 species